AAUAAUAAUAUUUCUUCUGGUAGAUCUAGAAUUAGGAGGAAAACAAACAAAACUGGGGUUGAAUUUCUAAUUGAUAUUUAUGUAUUGGUUUUCUCCCUGUGAAAUUUUAUUGGAAUCUAAAAGUUUUAGUUAUGAUGAAUUUGGUGAUUCAGUUCUUUUAAGGAACGUUGUACUUCAAUUUCAAUCAAUCAACAAUUUUCUCUAAUAUAAAUAAGAAAGAACCUUUUGAUUGAACAUGAUGAAGUUUCAGAUUGCACUUAAUUGCUAUUUAUCUGCCUUUUAUUUGCCUGUUCACCUGUGGUUUUUCUUCCUGCACCUCAUCCUCUUUGCUAAGGAGAAGGGUCAAAGGCCAAACUUCCCAGGAGCUCCCCUCCAAUUGUAUACAACAAAUGGAAGUUAUGAUCCAGGCAAGUUAAUACUAGAUCUUAUUUUGGUUUCUGUUAUUGUUACUUGAUUCAUAUCAGGCCUGAAGGUUUCUGUUUGCUAUUAUUGUUAUUAUGUAGCGGGAGGGUUUAGGGAACUGAUGAUAAUGCCAUUGAGAAGAUUAAACAUGCAUUUCUUCUGCAGAUUGGAGAAAGGGGUGUUACUGAAAGGCUUUCCUUGUUUUGGGGAAUGUUGGGGUUCAUGGUAUAUAGCCUCUGUGUGCAUUUCGUCUGAGAAUCCUUCAUGAAAGAGGCUUGAGCUUGGUGAGAAAGAAAGUUUGGAGAUCUUUAGCUUCAUGACAGUGAUGUUGUAUUGCCAGAAGCUGUGAGGUACCAAGACGAACUAGCAAGACAUUCCCGGGUGGUUUUUGUGAAGAAUUACAAUAUGUUUCCAACGACAUGCUAGUGGCAUUGGAUACUGCUGGGUCAACUAUAAUUUCAAGAUGUUUUGGGCACGGUCAGAGUAACAGGUUUCGGCGAAAUAGAGGUGGUAGAAAAAAUUGAUAGCUCAGCUGCUAUUAUUGAUCCUGUCUCUGUCUCAGAAGGGCAACAAGCUUCCGCCAUUGUUCAAAAAGGUGAAAGUAAUUACUGUAAAACAAGUUAAUGACUGGAUUAGUGGUAAUCUGCUGAAGGAAACAAUUGUUAUGGACCAACAAAGAGGGAAUGUAUGAACAGUUAUAUUCGAACAGACAGGAGAUAUGGAUUGGGGGCUUUGAUUGUCACGGAGGAUCAUUCACUAUUGCUGCUGCAACAGGGUGAGAGAAAGUGAGUUUAAUCUACAAAAGUGUUAUUUGCGCGAGACUGUCAUGGAUUCAAUUAAUUCUCAAAAAGCUUCAUUCUCUAACAUCAUAUGGGGCACAACUCUGCCUCCAUAUUGCAAUCUUAACUCAAGAAAAUCUGCGCAGAAGGGGAACGGGCCGGACGGAGUUUGAUAGCAGUUGAAUAGGACUUGAAUCACUUGCUUAUCUGAAGCUUCACAAACAUCAAGUGAUCAGCAAGAGCAUAAAAGCAUAGGAGCGAUGGUUUAUUUCAACAAAAUGUGGAUAACAAAUCAAUCUUCUUUUCACCAGUCUUUGGCGUUUGUGUUUUAUAAUACUGUAAAUUUCACAUGGGAAAAAUAAUAAUAAUAACAGAAGUACUCCUAGGCAUCAACAAUAGGAAACCACUAUGGCA